rnacentral:rRNA from 1 species
GACGAACGCUGGCGGCGUGCCUAACACAUGCAAGUUGAGCGACGAACCAGGGCUUGCCCUGGGGCAAAGCAGCGAACGGGUGAGUAACACGUGGGUAACCUACCCCGAUAACCGGGACAACCCGAGGAAACUCGGGCUAAUACCGGAUGUGCUCACUGGACUUCGGUUCAGUGCGUAAAGGAAGCUUCGGCCUCCGUAUCGGGAGGGGCCCGCGGCCCAUUAGUUUGUUGGUGAGGUAACGGCUCACCAAGACCGCGAUGGGUAGCUGGUCUGAGAGGACGAUCAGCCACACUGGGACUGAGACACGGCCCAGACUCCUACGGGUGGCAGCAGUGGGGAAUCUUGCGCAAUGCGCGAAAGCGUGACGCAGCAACGCCGCGUGGGGGAAGAAGGCCUUCGGGUUGUAAACCCCUUUCAGGAGGGACGAAGGUUCGGCGGUGAAUAGCCGUCCGGACUGACGGUACCUCCACAAGAAGCCCCGGCUAACUACGUG